UACGAAGGGGGCUAGCGUUGUUCGGAAUCACUGGGCGUAAAGGGCGCGUAGGCGGCUUUAUAAGUCGGGGGUGAAAGCCUGUGGCUCAACCACAGAAUUGCCUUCGAUACUGUAGAGCUUGAGACCGGGAAGAGGUAAGUGGAACUGCGAGUGUAGAGGUGAAAUUCGUAGAUAUUCGCAAGAACACCUGUGGCGGAAAGCGGCUCACUGGACCAUAACUGACGACUGAUGGCACGAAAGCUAGGGGAGCAAACAGG
rnacentral:rRNA from 1 species